GACGAACGCUGGCGGCGUGCUUAACACAUGCAAGUCGAACGGAAAGGCCCUGCUUUUGUGGGGUGCUCGAGUGGCGAACGGGUGAGUAACGCGUGAGUAACCUGCCCUUGACUUUGGGAUAACUUCAGGAAACUGGGGCUAAUACCGGAUAGGAGCUCUUGCUGCAUGGUGGGGGUUGGAAAGUUUCGGCGGUUGGGGAUGGACUCGCGGCUUAUCAGCUUGUUGGUGGGGUAGUGGCUUACCGAGGCUUUGACGGGUAGCCGGCCUGAGAGGGUGACCGGCCACAUUGGGACUGAGAUACGGCCCAGACUCCUACGGGAGGCAGCAGUGGGGAGUAUUGCACAAUGGGCGGAAGCCUGAUGCAGCAACGCCGCGUGCGGGAUGACGGCCUUCGGGUUGUAAACCGCUUUCGCCUGUGACGAAGCGUGAGUGACGGUAAUGGGUAAAGAAGCACCGGCUAACUACGUGCCAGCAGCCGCGGUGAUACGUAGGGUGCGAGCGUUGUCCGGAUUUAUUGGCCGUAAAGGGCUCGUAGGUGGUUGAUCGCGUCGGAAGUGUAAUCUUGGGGCUUAACCCUGAGCGUGCUUUCGAUACGGGUUGACUUGAGGAACGUAGGGGAGAAUGGAAUUCCUGGUGGAGCGGUGGAAUGCGCAGAUAUCAGGAGGAACACCAGUGGCGAAGGCGGUUCUCUGGGCCUUUCCUGACGCUGAGGAGCGAAAGCGUGGGGAGCGAACAGGCUUAGAUACCCUGGUAGUCCACGCUGUAAACGGUGGGUACUAGGUGUGGGGUCCAUUCCACGGGUUCCGUGCCGUAGCUAACGCUUUAAGUACCCCGCCUGGGGAGUACGGCCGCAAGGCUAAAACUCAAAGGAAUUGACGGGGCCCCGCACAAGCGGCGGAGCAUGCGGAUUAAUUCGAUGCAACGCGUAGAACCUUACCUGGGUUUGACAUGGAUCGGGAGUGCUCAGAGAUGGGUGUGCCUCUUUUGGGGUCGGUUCACAGGUGGUGCAUGGCUGUCGUCAGCUCGUGUCGUGAGAUGUUGGGUUAAGUCCCGCAACGAGCGCAACCCUUGUUCACUGUUGCCAGCACGUUAUGGUGGGGACUCAGUGGAGACCGCCGGGGUCAACUCGGAGGAAGGUGGGGAUGACGUCAAGUCAUCAUGCCCCUUAUGUCCAGGGCUUCACGCAUGCUACAAUGGCUGGUACAGAGAGUGGCGAGCCUGUGAGGGUGAGCGAAUCUCGGAAAGCCGGUCUCAGUUCGGAUUGGGGUCUGCAACUCGACCUCAUGAAGUCGGAGUCGCUAGUAAUCGCAGAUCAGCAACGCUGCGGUGAAUACGUUCCCGGG
rnacentral:rRNA from 1 species